rnacentral:rRNA from 1 species
CAUAAGGGCCAUGAGGACUUGACGUCAUCCCCACCUUCCUCCGGUUUGUCACCGGCAGUCUCACUAGAGUGCCCUUUCGUAGCGACUAGUGACAAGGGUUGCGCUCGUUGCGGGACUUAACCCAACAUCUCACGACACGAGCUGACGACAGCCAUGCAGCACCUGUGUUCAGGCUCCCUUGCGGGCACGCUCUCAUUACAAGAGCUUCCUGACAUGUCAAG